rnacentral:rRNA from 1 species
CUACGGAGGGUGCAAGCGUUAAUCGGAAUUACUGGGCGUAAAGCGUACGUAGGCGGUUUAUUAAGUCAGAUGUGAAAGCCCCGGGCUUAACCUGGGAACUGCAUUUGAAACUAGUAGACUAGAGUAUGGUAGAGGGGGGUAGAAUUCCUAGUGUAGCGGUGAAAUGCGUAGAUAUUAGGAGGAAUACCAGUGGCGAAGGCGGCCCCCUGGACCAAUACUGACGCUGAGGUACGAAAGCGUGGGGAGCGAACAGGAUUAGAAACCCUAGUAGUCC